rfam:Danio rerio chromosome 4, GRCz11 reference primary assembly.
GACGAAAUAGCUUUGUUGGGAGAGCAUUAGACUUAAGAUUUAAAGGUCCCUGGUCCGAUCCUGGGUUUCGGCA